UACGGGGGGGGGCAAGCGUUUGUUCGGAAUUACUGGGCGUAAAGGGCUCGUAGGCGGCCAACUAAGUCAUACGUGAAAUCCCUCAGCUUAACUGGGGAACUGCGUGUGAUACUGGAUGGCUUGGAUUUGGGAGAGGGAUGCGGAAUUCCAGGUGUAGCGGUGAAAUGCGUAGAUAUCUGGAGGAACACCGGUGGCGAAGGCGGCAUCCUGGACCAAUAUUGACGCUGAGGAGCGAAAGCCAGGGGAGCAAACGGGG
rnacentral:rRNA from 1 species